CGAGCUCAGAUUUUACUAAAUUAAAAUACAUUGAUAUAUUAACUUCUACUAAUUCGGAGGGGUCAAUCCCAUCUUGACUCACGCACUGACUUGAUAGGUACUUGACUACAUCCAGAAAUCUUUUAUCACUGAAUUAAAAACUCAAUUAGUCCAGCACUAAACAAUGAGUUGCUUGCAAAUCACCAUGGUGAUCUCAGAUCGAAGGAACACUUAUACCCAUACCCUUCGCGAGCUACCCUUGACAGCACAGUGCUCCAUAGUUGAUCACGUUUAGUGAUGAUAUACUCCUACAUCUCACCUGCAUGCCAUAGCAGUGUCUCCAC
rnacentral:lncRNA from 1 species